GUGCCAGCAGUCGCGGUUAUACGUAGAAGGCUAGCAUUAAUCAUUAUAGGCCUAAAGGAUUCGUAGAUGAUAUAUACAAUAUAUAUUAGAAUUAAUAAUUAAAGGUAUAUCAAUUGUAAUAGUAGUGAUAAAAUAUCGUAAUAAUUACAAGAGAGUCAAUGAUGAAGAUAUAUACCAAUUAUUAAUUGACAUUAAGGAAUGAAAGCUAAAGUAUCGAAAUGGACUAGUAACCCAAGUAGUUUUAGCAGUAAACUAUGAAUGUUAAAUAUUAUAUAAUAUAAAUAUAUAAUAUUACAAUGAAGAUGUUAAACAUUCCGCCUGAUGAGUAUGUUCGCAAGAAUGAAAUUCAAGAUAAUAGACGGUUAUAAACACAAGCAGUGGAGCAUGUUAUUUAAU
rnacentral:rRNA from 1 species